UAUGCAUUUGAAGAAGAUCCCCCUUGAUUCUACAUGGUGAGUGAAUUGGCAAGACCAGCUGCAGGACAGCAGUUAGGAGCCUGCUGUAGAAGGCCAGGCAUCACAGCUCAGUCACGCUCACAGUGUGUGUCACAAGACCCAUGGGUCUGAAGAAACAGCCGCACACAGCCAGAAACCAAAAUGUCGCAGGCUCCUGGGCACAGAAAGGUCAACCUACAGCGGACGACAGGGAGAGAGCAUUGUUGGCAACUACCUCCAAACAUCCUUGCUGAUCAUCAGUAAAUGAGAGGGAUGAAAGUAAACAGCAAAUAAAGAAAUACAUGACAAGAUUAGAGAACCAUCACAGAAGAAAGGAAGACACUUAAUAUUCUAGGACCUUAAAUGGCAAUUUUUUCUUGAUUUUUGAA